rnacentral:misc_RNA from 1 species
UUUCCGUUGGUGAACCUGCGGAAGGAUCAUUGUCUUGACCCUGACCAAAAUAGACCGCGCACGCAUUAUCCAAUCCGCCGGUGAUGGCACUGUCCGUCGCUCGGCCAAGUCCUCGACCGCCUCCCCUCCUUGGAGUGGGGGCUCAGGGUAAAAGAACCCAUGGCGCCGAAGGCGUCAAGGAACACUAUGCCUAACCCGGGGCCAUGGCUAGCUUGCUAGUCGUCCCCCGUGUUGCAAAGCUAUUUAAUCCACACGACUCUCGGCAAUGGAUAUCUCGGCUCUU